CUUUCCUUUCAUCUUUCAUUUUCCAAAUUGUUCCAAAUUCCAAAACAAACAAAAACAAACCAUCAAACCAAUAAAUAAAAAUAAACGAAUAAAAGAAAAUCAAAGAACCAAAACCAAAGGAAAAACAACUCCCAUAAUCAUACUAUCAUACAGAAAUAUUAUUAAUACCUUGAUUAAAGUGCAAUAAAUAUUACGAGAGUUCAAUGGAAGUAAAACCAGAACAAGACAAUUAUUUUUCGGAAGAAUGUAAAAUCAAAAUAGAAAAUCAGGAAUUGCUGUAUGUUGGAUCUUCCUAUUCUGUAAAAAGUGAAAUAAAGGAAGAAUUAGUUAAGACAGAUUCGUUUAUUGCUGAUUCCAGUUCUUUUGUGGAAAACAACUUUAAAGCUGAACUAAAACAUAUUGAAAAUGUGAUGGAACCUAAACAUGCAGUUAAGGAGGAAUCUGACCAAAGUCACUCGGAGAGUCAACUAUGUACAUCAAUUAUCCUUGAAGACCUUAAGGAUGAACCAAAAGGAGAUGUUUCAGGUUAUCAAGAGUCUAAUAGUUUACACCUUGAAGAAAAAACAUGUUCAAUAUGUUGCAAGCAGUUUUCUCGAAAAGAUGAUUUAGAAAGACAUAUUCAAACUCACUCUAAAAAAACUUAUCAAUGCGAAAUAUGUUUCAAAUGGUUUCAUCGACGUAGUUAUCUCAACUCUCAUAUAAGAAAGCACACUGAAGAGAAACUUUAUCAAUGUAAAAUUUGUUCUAAGUCGUUUUCGCAUGGGGGUGCUUUGAACAUACAUGUCAAAAAGCACAAUGGAGAAAAACCAUUUCAGUGUGAAGUUUGCUCCAAAUCGUUUUUUCAAUCAAGUGAUCUUAAAAUACACAUGAGAAUUCAUACGGGAGAAAAACCUUAUCAAUGCGAAAUUUGUUUGAAUUAUCAUUCCCGAAGAGACGAUUUGAAAAGACAUAUGAGAAAGCACACAGGCGAGAAACCUUAUCAAUGCGAAAUUUGUUCAAAGUCAUUUUCCCAUGCAGGUACUUUGAAAGAACAUAUGAGGACACACUCCGGAGGAAAACCUUAUCAAUGUGAAGUUUGUUCCAAGCUGUUUUCACAUACAAGUGCUUUGAAAGUACAUAUAAGAAAACACACUGGCGAAAAACCUUAUCAAUGCGAAAUGUGUUUAAAGUCGUUUUCCCAUGCAGGUACUUUGAAAGAACAUAUGAAACUUCAUACUGGAGAAAAGCCUUAUCAAUGUGAAAUUUGUUCCAAGUCAUUUUCACGAAGGACUGCUUUGAAAGUACAUAUCAGAAAACACACUGGCGAAAAACCUUAUCAGUGUGAAAUUUGUUUAAAAUCAUUUUCUCAGUCAGGUGAUUUGAAAAAACAUACAAUGAGAAUGCACACUCAGAAUCAGCAAAGUCUGCAAAUCUGAGCUCUUCCUGCCGAUGCCACCCUGUACGUCUAAUCACCCAGAAAUCUUAUGGCCUCACAGAAAGCCAAAAGUCUCUUAAAAGGUACCUCCCUCACCUGGCUCGGCUGCAUAGAUGCCGAUUCCAGGAUCUCCCACCUCUGAUAGGCCAAUGCCGGGUACCAGAGAACUUGUGAGGAGAUUUCCUCCUCAUCAUUACAUAGACGGCACCGUGAGCCAUCCGCCAGUCCAAGCAGAUGAAGGUGCAGUCGGAGUCUACAGUGGCCGGUGAGCAUACUGACCACCAGAAAGCAUCUUAUACGAUCUAGAAGAAGCAGUUGGGCUGUGAGACUUUUGGAUGGCCUCACUAUGUGGAGCCUAGCCUGUCUCAAACCUCCACAACUGGCCCAGGAGUCAUGGAACCUCCGCAGAAGAAGCUCCCUGAGUCUACCCCGACCAGUACUGAAGGGCACUGCAAUCACAGGUUCUAAUUUGAAUGAAAAUAUUGUGUCGUAAAGUCUAGUUAUCAAGAGUCAAAUAAUAGUUUGCACAUUGAAGAAAAUUCAUGUCCAGUUUGUUGCAAGCAGUUUUCUCGAAAG
rnacentral:misc_RNA from 1 species